AUGCUCAAGUUUCAAAAUAUUUUUUUUUGCAAUCAAGCUAAGCUCCAAAGGUUCAAAGUCAGUCAAAAUUCCACACAUCGACGGCAAUGCCACCCAUGUUUGCCCCUCAACCAAGAUGGCGUCUGAGUACGGAGAGAAACCAUUUCAUCGAGGAGCAAACACAAUUGAACUUGUAGUAAAUGCAGUGAUAUUUUAACUGACCGUUUUUGAACCUUUGCAAGCACAGUUUGAUUUAUUUUUGGUUUGGAGUAAGUUGCAAACCAAAUGCCACCGCUAAUUUCGAGAAAGAAAACGAAUACAAUUUUUUUUUUUUAUCAGUGAUUGUCGUGAUCAAAAAUCCACAUCAUUUUGUUCUGCGUUUUGCAAACUGUAAGGUGCUUUGUGAUUUGAAAUG